UUUUGUUUUUGUAUUUUCUUAAAGUAUAACAUCUCACUUACAAAUACUUUUUGAGUUAUUCGAUAAUUACAACUUUUGAUCGAAGGAUUUUUUCUUUAAUUUCAAUUUUUUAUAAACAUUUUGCUGUUGGUUUUUUCCCGAAAAUACAAACAGCCAAUUCUUUUAAAAUUGUUACUUUUGUUUUAAAAUUUAUGUCAAGUCAAGUUGAAACCUUAUUCAAUGUUGCCAAGCUAUUACCUAUUUAAAAUAAAAUAAUUUACUGCCAGUUGAAAAACAAUUAUUUAAUUUUUUAAUGCCUCUGACUACACCUAACCAAAUAUCUACAACUUUUUAAAUUGAAAUACAAUCUUAGUUAGGCACCAUAAACCAAAGAAUUUAUUUACUCCAUCUUUAUGCUUGCCAUUUUUGAGGUCUACUUCGCUAGCAAAACGAGGGAGUUCAAUAGUUGCAAACCACCGUAAGUAUCGUCGCAGUCCAAGAAUUGAGCCUAAGACUGCGACGGAGAAAAAUUAACAUUUAAUUAUUGCAACAAAGGCGAUAAUCAAAGACAGUUAAUGCAGUCAGCGAUUUCCAUCCAAUUUUUAUAAUGCCAUUUAGAACAUGGCUACAUAUACAAACCUAAUAUUAUAUACAUACAUACAUAUAUAUAGAUGGCAAUCUGGUUCUAGAAAUGCUUUUAAACCCAUUGUAGUUUUAAAUAUGCACAAACCAGAUUGAACUAAAAAUUAGUCAAGCAAAUAGUCAAUGAAAUAAAAUUGUAAACAAAAACAAAUUUGCCAACAGCGUCAGUUCAAGCUGUGAAAAAGUCAGAGUUAGUUUAUAUUUUUCGAACUUUACAAUGUUUACGGUUCAAAGGAGAAUGACGCACUAGUUUUUCGUAAACAUUUCUAUUUCAUAAUACCUGUCAUGAUUCGUGUUGAGAAAAAAAUACUAAUCAAUGUGGAAUAAUAAUUAAUAAAUAAAUUGUUGACCUUGAACUUGGAACAAAUAAAAUUAUACAAAUUUUCAGAAAACAUUUGUAGGAUGGAUUCAUACUUUUUUGAAAAUGGACAAUUCACAUAAAAUAAUAAUUUACAAAAUAGUCCCCUAAGGGUUAGCAAUAUAUUGCCAUUAUAGUACCAAUAGUACCAAUAUAACGCUCAAUAUAGGUACAGCGUGGGCCCUUAUAACUGUCGCACUUGUUUGAAGCUUCGUUAGGCUGAGCGAUGUUGAUUAUUUCGAAAGCCUCCUUCGGUGGUACGUGGAGAAAACUAUUAUCUAACGAAUGCAACAUGAUUUUUUGAUUUUGGAUGAUCCUGCACCAAGUUGUCAGGGGCACCGCCAUCCAACUUUUUUCCGGGACACGUUCCAGAUUUUUAAACAUUUCUUUGAGAAAAUUUUAUACAGUCUUUAACUAUUUAUGGUACAAUUUUUCAAUUUGUAUUUUAAUUUCAUAUAAUGCUUUUCCUUAAAUUGUUUGUGCAAUUUUAAACUUGCUUAUUGUUAACGCUUGCACAUAAAUUGUAAAACAAAGAGUAUUAAAAUUGAAUAUAACAACAGAACGCACGGAAUAAACAAGAAUCACGUAAAGUUAAGCGAAUUUAA